CUUCUCCAGCACAGCACAGCUGCUCACAAUUUAUAAAACAGCCCUUCUCCAUGUGAACUGAGUAGCAUCAUAUAGGCAGGGGGAGCAAGAUGGAGUCACAGACCCACGUCCUCAUGUUGCUGCUGUUCUGGGUGUCUGAUACCAGUGGAGAUAUCAUGAUGACCCAGUCUCCAUCCUCCCUGGCUGUGUCAGCGGGAGAGAAGGUCACCAUCAGUUGCAAGUCCAGUCAGAGUCUUUUAAACACCGGAAACCAAAAGAACUACUUGUCCUGGUACCAGCAGAAACCAGGGCAAUCCCCUAACCUGCUGAUCUACUAUGCAUCCACCAGGCACACUGGGGUCCCAGUUCGCUUCUCAGGCAGUGGAUCUGGGACAGAUUUCACUCUUACCAUCAGCAGUGUGCAGGCUGAAGACCUGGCAGUUUACUACUGUCAGCAGGGUUACAGCUAUCCUCCCACAGUGCUUCAGCCUCCAAUAAAAACCUCCUUCAGAGUCUCUCCAGCUGUCUGCAGCACACACACUGACCUGACCCUGCAUACUUCCCCCUUCUGCCUGAAAGUGGGUAGCCCUGAAAAAGCAAUAAAAGAAUUUGCAGAGCAUAUAUUUUGGUGGUAUUCCUGGGAAGCCAGCAAUUUACUGAAGGAAACAGAAGAGGGGCAGAUUGGGGCAGAGGGUUUUUUCAUACCAAAAGACAUAAUCCAUUAUUUUGAAAGUUGA